CGUUUGAAAGUGAGUUUAGAAGCAGGUCUAGAGCCAGGUGUCGUUUAUUUACGGAUUUCUAAGUCUUUGGGCAUGAACAGGACGGUUCUGUCAGUCGCUGGUGUUAGUCUUUGCUUUGAUAAACGCACAGCGUUGCUUGUGUGAUCUGUGAAAGAUCAUCCUCCUCGAAGUUUUAGAUGUAACAUAUAUAAAUCUCUGUGAAAAUAACUGCACAAGUAUACGUUUAUUUACUUCUUUUGGAGCUUCUGCCCUAUAGGUGCUCAAUUCUUGCCGUACAUCUCCUAUUUAAUCCAGUACCAGAGCUUGCAGGAUCAGAACUUUUUGUAAAUCAAGGUUAGGUAAGAGGACGUUGAUAAGGUGUUGGGGUUCUUUCUGAUCUUACCGGACUAUUUUAUGCCAUGGGUUAUCUCAUACAGUCCUGGUGUAGAAUACUAUGUAAUACUUCACCUGUUAAAUCAUACAGCCCUGUAAGGUUACAUGUUAGCUAAUAAAAUGUAAUAUAAGUGUCUCAAAGUGGAUUAUACAGUAGCUAUUUCUUCCUCAGACUCCUUUUAUGCUGUGUUGUGUUUUUUUCCUCGCUUUGUUUUUGGAUGAAUUCACUGUUGGUGAGAGGUCUGGGGUGCCAUAGCAUCAGAAAUCUGGUUGUGGUUGUGUCUGUGUGUCUUGGUGAGACAUCCCUGGUUUGGGUGCAUGAAAUCCGUGCUGCACAGCCACGGCUGAGCUUUCACAUCCACUCUCAGCCCGGUUACUUCGACUUUUUUAACCCAUUACACGACAUGGUCACUUAGGGUAGUGCACUCACCAAAGAAUUUGGCACUUUGCUGAUGGUAUCGCUGUACUCUCCUGUUACACAUAACUGCCUGCCAGAAAUUGGCCAGAUGCAGCUAUUUCACGUGGGUUUCCUCCAAACCAUCAGCCAGUGGUGGCAUAACCACUGCCCUCCAUAGAGAGGAUGCUCACCUGGGCACACUCGAGGGUGUUCCCGUUCAUUCCUGGUGUACGUAGCUCGACCUGUACCAUGCAGAGGCAGUAAAACAAGGUCAGUGCUGAGGGGGACUCCCUGGCUGCGGGACGCAGAGCUACGUUUUUGAAAUACUGCACAAAACUCCGGUGGCUUAGAGCUACCAUGCCGGGUCAUUUAGUCUGAGGAUUGAAUGCUGCUUUUGAAAGGAGCUUUAUCAGCUCAAAAUUGUGACAGUGAUAAAAUACUGACUGCAGCACUGGGUAUUUCUUACAGUUCUUCCAACUCUUUGUUGCGCUUUAAAGCUUAUUUGAAUUCUGAUUUCUCGCUGGUUUUCUGUAGGUUUUAACACUGAAGGGAAAUAGAGUGCAAGCAUCUAUGCAAAGUGUGCUCUCAUAUGAAGAAUAUAAAUAAAAAGCUCUUUCCCCAAGCUAGUUCCUUGGUGUGAUGCUCAUAAUAACAGUAAAGAGUUUAAAGUGAUAGGCAUCCCUUUAAAGACCUGCAUUUUAAAGAAGCUUGGGUGUUGUAAACGGGUACAGAUACACGCUUUCUUACUCCUCCCCCAGCUGAACCACCUACGGACGGAAAGGGGAUCUACUCCAGGUGUGACACCAAGUGGGACAAGAGAGUUGUGUGGUAGUGUUUAGGGUGCCACGGGAUCAGCACACACAAAGUAACGCAGCACGUGCAGGUUAUCGUGGAUUUGUGCAGACUUCAAUCACUUCACCACUCAGGUAGCUGACAGCAGGGUGUAGAUAUAACAAAGAGGUAGCUUUUAUCUAAUAUCAGCAAUAUCUAAAGGGCAGUCACACUAUUGAGCCAUGCAAGUGAGUUUGUAUCCAGAACUUUUUUAAAAUUUUAUUUAUUUUGGAACUGGCUUAAUAAAAAUUAAUUAAGAAGAGAAAUAGCUGGAUUUUAAGUGGUGUAAUUGUACUGUAAACCAUCAGGGAGUGCGUUUUCUGAAGAAACAAGGUUGAAGUGAGGGGGAAAAAAGCUGCUUAGUCCAAAUCUGUGGUAUAGGCGAUGUGGCUGAGUUAUGUGUAACUAUCCUCGCAGCAGGAUUUGUGUAUUAUGUAUCAGUGGAUAGGAUAUACCUUCCUCUAAACCUACACCCAGAACUUCGGAGAGUUUUAAAGUAACAUCACUUGCAUGCAGGGAUUGAGGACUUUAUCUUAUUUUCUGUAUUUAACAGCCCAUAUUAUCUAUGCCAGUGAUGCCUCUUUAAUUGUCCAUUUAAAUGGCGGAAUAAUUAUCAGUGGUUUUCUUAAAUGCUUACGGCCCAGAAGGCUGAUGUCGAGCAGUUCUUCCCACUUCAUUCUUUCCAUGGAUUACUCCUUCCUCCCCCACGUCCUCCCGCCUUACAGGUACGGGAAUUGCUGAGCUGGGGAAGCCUGAGAAGAGCUGGACCUGCAAAAUAGGAGCGGAUGCUCGAAUGAAUGGCUUUCCCUCCAAAGCCAUAAAAGAGCUCGGAAAAGCUUAUCUUUUGCCGGUGUGCUUUGCUAACGUGUUGUGUAGCAGCUGACAUCUCCAGAGCCUGCUCUUGAAGCCGGUGUUAAUUUAACCCAGCGCUCCUUGACGCGUGUCCCUGCAUCGUCUGAGCCCCUGGAGUUGGGAAAGGAGAAGCAACCAGCAUCAGUGUGAAAUUUAAAAAGCAUUUAAUGUAGAGAUGGAGCGAUUUAAUCACUUAACAUAUCUGAAACAGCCUCUGUCUAAAUAAAUAUUUGGGGUCUUUUCGGAGUUCUGCCGCCAGCAGUAGAAACCCAAAUGGAAACUAGUGACUUUUUGAAUGGAACAGCUUUCUGUGUCCCCAAAGUCUGUCCCUGAUUUAUUAAUUAGUGAGCUGCUCAUGCAUAUGGCCAUAGUGACCCUUGUAAAUGUGUGGAAGUGUGUUUAUGUGACUCAUGGGGUUUCUUGGCUGGGGGGGCUGUUCCUUGAGGAAGGCAGCAGUAGGUUAUCUGCUCUGCAAGUUUUGUAGUGCUGGAAAGGCUUCAUAAUUGGAUCCGAGCGUAAGGUGCAUUCAGAGCCGUGAUGACUUUUAACCCUUCUGCUGCUUCUCUGUUUUACUUGGAGCAGGAGGUUUCUGGCAGGAGCAGAGUGAAGGGUUAUAGGGCUGCUUGGAGCUGUGUUAGUUGCUCUCAGAGCUUAUGGCUGUGGCAUAUAAAACGUUAGAGGGUAGAAAAAGUAAAUUCAUUGCUAUUCAGCCAGAUUUUUCCGAGCUGUGCGAGCAGCCUCACGCUGGCUCUGAAGAGCGAGUAGCUUCGGCUACAAAGACAUUGAAAAGAAAAGGCACGUGUUUCCCCAUCGCUCAUCCCUUUUGCCGGGGCAGAGGUGAGGCAGGAGCCAGGAGGAGGUUGUCCUGCGCCCAGCCUCGUGGCAGCAGGCAUCAACGAAGCCCAACUUUCAGGUGGGGAUCCCUAGCAUGGAUCCUUCAGCUUAGGAGGAGUUUAAAAGGUGGCUUUAAACUGCUUUUGUUGUGCUUUUGUACAGCGAUAUCAGCAACCUGCUAGAGCCAGGGCUGGACCAGAUGCCCACAGAGGUGCCCAUGUGGUCCCUGGGCAUUUUUUUCUUCUUGUUCCUUGGUUGCAUCCUCCCACGUCCCGAGCGUGGGGAAAGAUGCAGAAGAGGAAUUCAAAUACAAAAGUUUGGGGGUUGCAUCAUUUGGAGAAACCCGAGAUGAAUUUUGAAGCCCGAUGGUAAAUUCACAUGAUUUCAUACAAAAUCGGCAAAAUAACUGGCCGUGGAGGGGUUGCAUUGGACCAGGCUGCAGUGGGAACUGCUCUGCUCAGCAUCAGUGAAUCGCGUGGUACCGAAAGGGGGAUAGUUGGUGUUUUGUGGCCGUACUUGGGGCAGGAUUUCUCCCUGCCCCAGGAUUUGCAGAUUGCCCAGAGCCUGUGCAGGGUACCUGGUAGUUGGCUAGCUGGCUUUCAGAGGUUAAGACGUACUGAAAGUGAGUUAAAUCUAUUAUUUUGAGCAGCUGAGAUGCGAUAAAAACUUUGAGGACACAUACCAAAAUCCAAGGUAAAACAUUGGUUUGGUAAAAGGGGAAAAAAAAAUAUAAAUAAAUCACAACACAACCUUUACUGCUGUCACCUGUAGCUGGUGCCCGUGAGUUUCAUUCUGCCAUGUUUGUUGGCAGGUGGGUCAGAGGACACCAACACUGUUGAAUUUUCCCUUCCCUGCUAAAUUCAAGCUAGAAAAUCCUCUCCGUGUGGCUCAGUCCUCACCCCGAGCGUCUCCGCCGGGCGAUCCCGAGCUGCCGAUGGGGAAUCCCGGUGGCAGGACGCCAGGAGGCAGCGGGUGCCCUGCCACCUGCUUCCCUCCCUCCCUGCACACGGGCAGCACGCCAGGGGCAGGGGGGGCACGCAGCCAGCCUGGGGAGGCCGAGAAGCAAUUUGGGUGCGUCUUCAUCGGCGUUGAACCCAACGUUGGGUUAGAGGUGGUUCCACCUUCCUCCAUCUCUCGCCGUGAGCUGUGUGGGGUACCAUGGGGUGCUCUCGGGUGGCUGAGGAUCUGUCCUCCAUGCAGCUGGCAAAGGGCCUGUUUACAUGCUGAUAUUUAAACAAGAAAUAAAAUCGGGUCUUUAGGUUGGUUACGUUUUGGUGACCAUCUUAGAGCAGAAGUUAUCAUGUCUUUGAGCCUUCAGAGCUGCUUCGCUGGCACCAGAAGUAACUUUGGGAGAAGCUUGUAAAAGUUGAGCAUGGAAAGCAUCCUGGGCAGCUCCGCAUGAACGAUGGGCUCCUUGCAAGGCUUGGGCAGUGUCCUGAGCCUUGUCAAAGCCAUUCUGCCCCCAGCCAACGAGGACAUCGUGACCAUGGAUGGUUGGCUUCUCUGGAACCUUGAGGCACAAACGGGGUGGAAUAGAAACCUAAGGAGAUCUGUUUCUGCUCAAGGAUCCCCAGCUCUGCGUGAGAGCAGAUCCAGAACACAGCGCACGCACAGGAGGAGCCCAAUUUUUCGCACGCUGGCUACAACAGCAGCAAAGGUCGUGCUCGGUCUGUACCGUGGAGCAAUGCAGGGCUUUGCGCACGCUAUGCACAAUUCUGAGACCCAAAAAAAACACACCCCAAAGACAGAAACCCAAGUGUCUUGAAGAAACGUUUGUACAACCGGGAGAAAACAAAGCUCUGCUUUCAGAAGUCCUUUGGAUUUGGCUUCCAUUUGGCACAGCAGGCGUCCCUGCUUCCCACAGCUCUGCCCUCCUCCAGAUGAAGUUUCCAUUGGGUUGGGAGGAACGAAGGACAUCUCUCCGUGUUCCCUGUGUCAUUUGGUUGGAAGCAGUGCAAGACAAAGUUAACAUCCUCUUCUUUACCCAUUUUUUGGGUUAAAAUGCCGCGUGGUGGGAUAUCCCUAUCCUUGAGGUACCAUAUACAGCGUGCGCUUCAGAAGCAUCCGACCCACUGGGCUGGAAAUGUUUCAGCUUUUGUUCUUUCUGCUUGUAAAGCCAGCAGUACGGUGCUUGGAAAUUCACCUUUUAUCUUUGCAAAGUUGUGUUCACAGCUGUGUCCUUCCAUCACGCUGCGAAGCCUCCAGCCGCAGACCUGGCUUCGGGACCCGAGUCCCCCUUCCCUGGAUCUCGCAGCCCGUGGGCUGCAGGCUUUCUGCAGCAGAAAACUUGUGGUUUAUGUGCUGCUGUGGGAAUGGAGACUAAAGGUUAAGGCGAUGACUUGUGCUGCGUGGUGGCUGGCCGUGUGUAACCAAAUUCUGCUCAUCGUGUGUGUUGGGAGCUCAGCAGAGCGAGGAGGAGGGAGGCAGGGGAAGGAGGGUCUGCCCCAUAUUCUGCCCCGUACCUACACGUGCAGCCAGCUGUGAUCUCCUUGCUGAGGCUCCCGUGAAAUCCAGCGGCUGUUUCCACGUGGCUGCCUGUGCUUGCCCCAGGAACGGGCUGCAGCCUCGCAGUACGCAGCGGGGCUGUAUUAAGGGUACCCGGUGUGUGGCUGGUACCCGUGCUGGGACACAGCCCGAAGCUCGCCAUCUGAAGGCUUUGCUGAAGAAACUGCAAUCCCUUCAUGUACAUUCAUGUGGCUGCUGAGUGCUAAAGCCCGAUACCAGCAAACCACAAAGCAAAACUCGGGCAGAAAGGCGCAGACGUCCAGGAAGCACCUGCGAGGGCGGCGGUGCAUUGGAUCGGGACCCCAGCUCCUGCCUCUCCCCACGAGGUUGGCACCCAAACCCCGCAAUGCACAGGCUGCAGCAGGACACAGCCACGUUGAGGACCUCUCACCUUGCUCCAGUUUGUAAGAAGACUCAGAAAAAGCGCUGGCUUGCAUCAGGCAGAGGCUUAUCCUGGGGUUUGGUGGCAGAAUAUGAGGGAAGACACGUCCAGAAGUCACAGCCGUACUGCGCGUCGGCGGGGUGUUCAUGCAAAGUUCAGUGGAUGUUCAGAGAGUGAUUCAGGAGCUGGGAUUUUCCUUAAAAUUAUGCAGCUUUCCGAAUACCAGGAGGAAUAGGCUCGCAGUCCCUGUGUCACCCUUCCGUGGUGGUGAGCUGUUUCAGCUGGAAUGUGGCCCCACGAAGGUCACUUUCGGCUUCUCCUCCCUCCACUCCCAGUCACAUCCAUGCUUGUUUCUCUGUCAAGGCUGUCCUGGGGCGUACCCAGGUAAGGCCCAGCAUCCUCAGAAGGGGGAAAAAUUUUGGGGAAGGGGGAAAAAUUUGGGGGGCAGACCUGCCCGGCAGCCAGCAAGCUGGAAAAGUGUCCCACUGAUAACCCGCGGGGCCUCCAAGAGCCGUGCCCGCUCACCAAUGGGACAUCACUGCCUGACGGGCUCCCGUUAAUCACCAAAUACUCAUCAGUCACCAAAUAACGAGUCCUAAGGAGACACGGGCAGGUUGCUGAAGGUGUCUUUAACACUUAGAAAAACCGUCUGAGCCGGUGGCAGUCGUCAGUGCGGGGAGGAGAACUGGCUGCGAUGGCACGGGGAGCGCACACCGCAGUGGAGGCAGGAGAAACUCUGCUUCCUUCAUCCUUAUUCUCACGUGGGUGCUUGCCAUGGGAUUCCUGACUCUUGGAAUAAAUAAAUUUUGGUACUGCCGUGAGCUCUGCUCCGUGUGCCGUGCUGUCAGGAGUGACUUGGUGUGCUGGGGCACCACGAGCCCCAAAAAUAACGCUGCUGGAGCGCUCGCAGCCCACGCUGCCGUUCCCUGAUGGAGCCCUUGGAUGUGAGCGAGCCUUCGACCUCUUGCAAAAACCAAUUUUAUUCCGUGGGAGCUUCCCCGUGGAGCUGCUUCGACUCAACUCGUGCCCGGCGUCUCAAUUCUGGGCACGGCAAAGAGGAGAGAGGUGCGCUUCUGUGUCAGAACCGGGGUUUUGGAAAGGCAGAGAGGAAACAGCAGCCCUGCCCUAAGAGGAGAAACCUAAAAGCAGAAGGCAGUCGGCUUUUCUUCCACCGUGCUCUCACAAAUUCCCUUCCACGGGGUUGUGAGGAUGGAGGGAGACGCUCCCCGAGCCCCCCCCGGGAGGUGGGCGCUGGCCCCGCGCUGCCCCCGCAGAUAACGGGGCGAGGACGGGGGCAGAUAGGCACAGAUGUGCUGCUGGGAGGCUUGGCUCCGGGGUGGGGCUUCUUUUAUUUCAUUUUUUAAAUUUUUUUUUUCCUUUUUUUUUUUGUUUGGGGGUGUGUGUGAAGCAGAUGUUUGAGACAGCUGAGUGUGGCUGCCCCCGAGCUGAUCUCGCUGGAGGACCCUGAUACUUCAAUGCUGUUAGAGCAGGGAGAUAGGCAUGUUUGCCUUCAAAGCAGCUUUCCUGCCAUCCAAAUUUCAAUUUUCAUUGGGUUUGCUUUGCCUUUUAAUGCAAUAGAUGUAUGCGGGACCUGGAGCAUCUGCCUCGUUCCUUGGUUUCUUCUAACCAGCCUCUAAAACUCUUCUGGGAGACUUUUGUGUAGCCAUUCCCUAUCAUAAUUCUUCUAGGAAAAUUGUAGAGUCUUGGAAAACGUAUUUCCUGUCUAUCUCCGAUCCUCCUACUCUCAAUGAAUCACUUGUGCUCUCGUGUUGCUUUGGGCUGACUUCCCUAUUGACUUCAGCGCUUGGGAUUUAAUUAGAAACCUCGGGAUGUUAUUGGGAGCUGUAACACUACACAGGGAUUCUUCUCCGUGCAGCAGCAUUACAGUAAUAACAA